GGCUCCCAAACAGCUCUUCAUUUUGUUCAACUUCUGCUGGUCACUGCUAAUCGGCUGAAAGAGCGGGCUCAUAGAGCUGACUUGUUUGCGACCGACACGUCAGUGUUAGCCACAGUACCCUGGUGAAUAUCUCCUUUGCUUAAAGGCUCAUGCAGACUACACGAUUUUCAGCGUCGGCCGAUGGCUUUCACACUACACAACUUGCCGUCUUGUGAUGGGAGUCUUGACGUCGUUGUGGCAUUCACACUGAUCGGUGAUCGGUGACAGGGGGUCACACACUAUGCAAGCUGACAGUGGCUGUGUCAGCCGACGGCUGGUCUCCAUACCAUGUUUCGUCUUGUCCCGCACCAUGUUUGCUGAAGUAUCCACCUUCACAAUACAAAUUGAAAGAACUGGUAGGAUUACAUUUCACUGUAAUGGUACUGUAUUUGAUUACAUGUUACGAAUAAACUUGACUGCUUAAUUGAUUGAUUGCAUCUCCUCCCCCGCGCAGCUGGACCUUUGCCAUGUUGGUGUGUUCUGUUACCUUAUAGUUACAGUGAUGGCUUUGGGGAAAUUUUUCGAUGCUCUUUGAUUCCAGAGGUUGAGGAGCUGACUUGUCUUUCCCCAAGUACAUAAUUAAAUGUGUGUAAGUUAGACUAAUGAGGUACAUUGGUACAUUUGGAAGGCAUUGGUAGUGUGUCAUCAUACGCUUGUCAAGCUGGCCUUCACACUGCAAGGCCAAUCAGCUGCCUAACAGGCUCUCAGAGGGCAGAGGAAACGCCAUCAAGAAAUCAAGAGCACUAGUAUUCAGAUGAGGUGGAGUGAUUACAGGCUGGAGUGAGUGAAUGUGCAAGUGCCUGACCUUAUUUAUAUUUUUAGAUGAGAACAUCAUCACUGCAUCACGUUAUUCAGUGGAAAACCAGGGGAUCAAAGGAAGGUGAUUUGAACAGCCCUCCGGACGAUCCAGCAGAUUUACUCUGUGACAGUCAGGCUAGAUAAACCAAAAUAUAUGCAGGAGUGAGGUUAAAGGCCAAUGUUGUGAGUAUGGUUUGUGUUCAUAUUUUCCUGUUUAAGUCUGGUUUUGGUUCUGUGUUUCUCCGUGUAGCCUUGUUUAUUAUUUUAUUUAUUCAGAUGUUCUAGUUUACUUUGUAUCUGUUUUGUCUCGUAUUCUAGUUUUGUCCUGCAUUUUAAUUCGUGUCUCAGUGUCUACUCCUGGUCUGUGUACUUCUGUAUUAUUUUGCCCAUGUUUGCUCUGUGUUCUCUUUAAUCUUAGUUCAGUCUGUCUUCGCUGUUAGUGGUAGUUUAUUGGUAUAUUAGUGAUCUGUCUGCUUAUGUUCUGGAUCAGUUGUUUAUAUUAUUCUGUUUCUUCCUGGUUGUUAUUAGUUUCCCUAUGGCCUUAUUUGUGUCUGUCUGUUUUCCCCUGCUGUCUCUCUGCCUGUCUGUGUCUCAUUAGUCCUGAUGCCCCUCACUUGUGUUGCUCCCGCCCCGCUCGUUAGUCCCUGUGUAUAUAUGCCGGCUUGUGUAUUCAGUCUUGGACAUGUCCUUGUUGUCAAUGUGGAGUGUUCUGCCUAGAGCUCUGUAUUUCCCUGGAUCUUUGGAUUAACUUGUGUUGGAUUUACCUCAGUUUGGACUUUACCUUGUGCUUCCAUAUCAGCCAGAUCAAUCACAGGAAAGAGAAUCUGAAAAUGCUGCUGCUGUCUAUGCAACACCUGGGAACCCACCAACAGGGAGGAGGACCCCAAAGAAGACCAGGGGGAUGAGAGGGAGACAGAGAUUGAGAGGCUUCUUCUUCAAGCCAAGAAGAGACUUCCUGUACCUGCUGUACUUUGUCCCACCUCCUCUCACAGAAGAUGAGCAUUUCCUCCAAAGCCUGGUUCGUUCCCUGCAGAGUUUUCUACCCCAGCAGAAGGAGUAUGUGAAAAUUCUAAUUCACAAGCUUGUUUAUGAAGCCAGCACUGUGGUGCGCAAUUUGGAACCUGUGGAAUAGGUUGUCAGGGUGAUAAUCUUUGCAGGGAACCAAGUGGGCUUUGUAUUUUGUUCUUCUUUUUUAUAAAGUCAUUGUAAAUAUUUUUUUAAAAAGUUGAGCAUGUUUAAUGUGAACAUGUUUGCACAAGGUUACUUCAUAUUCCUUAUUUACAAAAAUACAUUUGACACACAAAGGUAACAACUAUGUGUCUGUCUUUAUGUCAUGAUAGAUAUUUUGUUCAAAAUUUCAGGUCAUGUUUUUAUGAUAAUUUAAGUGCAGUGUACACAUAGUUUUGUGUUUGGUUAGCUGCUAAAUGUGGUCAUACUUCCAGUCACAACAUCAGCACUAAAUAUAGUGCAAAAACAAUACUGUAGGAUGAUUGUUGAUUGUGCAGGAUACGCUGUCAAGACAUGAUCAGUUCCCGACAUAAAAUAGACACCGCAAAGUCCUUAUCUACAUUAGCAUUUAAAGAUAUUUUAAAUUAAUCCAUAUGUCCUUAAUCUUAAAAACAUUUGAAAACCAAAAAUUCAGCACUAUCAUCAGACUAAUCUUUUACAUAACAUAAAAGCAGACGGUACCAUUUUCAAUUUAUUUUCCUGGCAGUUUAAAACUACUGUAGUUUUGAAUAUUUAUCUUAAAAGUUAAGUACAGUGAUGUCUGCUUUUAUUGAUAUUGUGUUGCGA